UCAUCAAACCCAUGGAAUGGAGGAAGAGGUCUCGAGCUUCCCAAGAAGAUUAAGAUUGAACUGUUCAUCAAACCCAUGGAAUGGAGGAAGAGGUCUCGAGCUUCCCAAGAAGAUUAAGAUUGAACUGUUCAUCAAACCCAUGGAAUGGAG